rnacentral:rRNA from 1 species
AUGGAAAUUUGGUUAUGGAGAACCUUGAAGCUCGCCCUCCUAGGGCUGGCCUCGCUCGAGCGAACUAUCGAACGACAGAGAUCACGUAUUAGAUGGCUGAAAGAAGGGGACGCGAAUACGAAACUUUUU